rnacentral:rRNA from 1 species
GACGAACGCUGGCGGCGUGCUUAACACAUGCAAGUCGAACGGUGAAGCGCCUUCCUUUUUGGUGGGUGUGGAUGAGUGGCGAACGGGUGAGUAACACGUGAGUAACCUGCCCCCUUCUUCUGGAUAACCGCAUGAAAGUGUGGCUAAUACGGGAUAUUCUGGGUCUGUCGCAUGAUGGGUCUGGGAAAGAUAUUGUUUCGGUGGGGGAUGGGCUCGCGGCCUAUCAGCUUGUUGGUGGGGUGAUGGCCUACCAAGGCGGUGACGGGUAGCCGGCCUGAGAGGGUGGACGGUCACACUGGGACUGAGACACGGCCCAGACUCCUACGGGAGGCAGCAGUGGGGAAUAUUGCACAAUGGGCGCAAGCCUGAUGAAGCGACGCCGCGUGAGGGAUGGAGGCCUGCGGGUUGUGAACCUCUUUCGCCAGUGAAGCAGGCCUGCCUCGUUUGUGGGUGGGUUGACGGUAGCUGGAUAAGAAGCGCCGGCUAACUACGUG